GGCUCCGCUCCCUCCGCCCGCCCGUUCAGCUCGUGGGUCUCGCCGCCGGAGUCCAUCUCGGCUCCCGGAGCGGAGCAGGAGAGGCCUCGGAGGCUGUUGCCGGCAGCCUCUGGGAACCCCUUUCGUAUCGGCUCCCCCGUCUGGCCGCGGUAGUGCAGCUCCCAGAAAAGGCAAUGGAACAGAUUGACCACUGAUGUCACUUCACAGAUACAGCAACCUCAUUGGCACGAAACUUCAGUUGUUUAUUUCUUUGGAUCAAUUUGCCCAUCUCCAGCUGUCUCGAAAUGCCUUCAGAAGAAUGGGAACAAUCAUUUCAGCAACAAUAGUACUGCGAAAUUAUAAAAUCUAAGACUGGUUACUAAUUAUCCUUGUCUGGAAUAGAAGAAAUUAUAGAAGCCAUUAAAAUGCAGAGGACAAGGAAAUAAAUGUGGAUGUCUCCCAGUUUAAAAUGCUCAAGAAAAAAGAAUGUAAUUCAAAAGAUGGGGCUUCUAUUUGCAGAUCUAGAAGAACGGAAAACCUAAAUAUUUCAGCUAAGACUAAGAAACCUAGGCAUGAUGUUGAUAGAACUUAGGGUAAUUAAAACCAACCACAAUGAAAAGAAACUUGGAGUACCUAAAAACAUCACAGCCAUAGAAUCAUGGAACAUCCUGAGUUGGAAGGGACCCAUAAGAAUCUUCAAAUCCAGCUCCUGACACCACCACCCAAAAAUCAGACUAUAUGACUGAGAGUGUUAUCCAGUCAUGUCCCAAAAUCAGGCAGCUCGGUGCCAUGGCCAUACCCAACCUGACCCUCCCUGUCACACAUCCAUGCUGUUCCCUUGGGUUCUGCCACUGGUCACCAGAGAGAGGAGAUCACUGUCAGGAUGAAAUUAAAGGAAGCUGAUCAGCGUGUGGUGGCCGCCAACUCAUAAACAGGUAAAAUAUGGAUAAUGGUUGAGAUAAGUAUUACUACAAACAUGACCACGUGAUAUUUGAGAUGAGAACCACACCCUCACCUGAAGGACAGCAUUCGAUUCUGUUGGCAGAAGGAAUUUGGAAAUAAUUUGCUUAGAAAAGCAGUGAAGAAAUGAGUCAGAAAAAUGGUAGGCAGGAAGAAUAGAAGGGAAUGUAUGAAUGUUUUUAGAGAAAUAAUGAGAAAUCUUGUACUUCUGCAUACUUUUAUUGCAAGAGCAAACAUUGUAAAUCAGGAGACAUAAAAUCCGAUCUGCUGGGAAGCAUUUCACUGAGGAGCUGCUUGUCUUGGGAUGCUGCCUUUUUUCUGGAUAAAUGCACUGAGCACUGGAGAAGAGGGAAAAAGCCCUCUAAAAAUUGUUUGCCCUGGUGUGAAUGAUUGUCAUCCUCAAAUUUAUGUCUUGAAUCUAGAGCAGGCCCUGGGGAACUGUAAAUAUCUGAAAGGCUUUCUAAGCACCAUAUGGUGGUUAUGAAAGGCUCUAACACAGGCCCAGUUCUGAGUCAGAAGAAUGGAAAUGAGGAGGGCUAAAUCUUGGAAAGCAGGGUGUUCGUGAUUAUGAAACCAAAAGUGGCAGACAGACUUAAGCCCUCUACACUUCAGCAACACUUGCUCUCUAUCUAUUUAUAAUUCAUUUUGCUAGAGGGGCAUUAUUCAAGUGAGAAAAUACUCUUCCGCUCCAGCUUGGGAGUGAAGGCACUGUUGUAAGAAAAGAAAAGCAAAUUGAGCUAUUUUAAGUGUCUGAAGAGGCACUGAAUCCAGCCAAGUACUUGCAAAAGGUUCUGCCUUUGCUGUUGCCUUGCUUCCCAUGCUGUGGGAGUGGUGCCUGUUAUCUAGCAUCUCCUUGAACAGGCAGCUCUGCAAAACCUGCGAUGUAUUGCUCUGAUAAAGCAAAGCCUGAUAUCAUGCAACUACCCACACGAGUGCUGCUAAGAUGUUUUGGGGUAUAUUGAUUAAAGCAGAGAAUUCUUUGGGGGCAUCUGUGUUGUGCCAGAGGAUUGCUUUCCCAGCGAUCUCCCUCUCCAAGCAGGACAGAACUGCCUUGCUGUAUGCCUCCCCAAUGGCAUUCCCACCUUCUUGUAUCCUUUCAUUGCUGCUCCAGCUCCAGCGGUCCCCUCAUAUGAGUGCUGUGGCAUUUGUGUUUAACUGCCCACAUCCCUCUGAGCAGGCCAGGACCUGCAAAGCAUCACUUAUUUGUUUGUGACAUUCCUCUGACAAGCUCGUGCCUGCUCCCCUAUUAGGGCACCGUGCUGCACCAUGAUGCGUGGCACAUGGCUGGGGACUGAGCAACACAGCUCUGCCUGCUCUGCUUGCUUCUUUCAGGCUGCUGAGGCGCGGGAGAGGGAGCCCAGGGCAGGGAGGAAAGGGGCUUAUUCCUUCUCACUGUUAUUUGAUAUGAUGAGAAAGAAUGGCCUCAAGUUGUGCCAGGGGAGGUUCAGGUUGAGUAUUAGGGAAAACUUCUCUGAAAGUGUGGUUGAGCAUUGGCGUGAGCUGCCCAGGGAGGUGCUGGAGCCACCGUCCCAGGAGCUGUUCAAGAAAUGUGGAGAUGUGGCACAGAGGGGACAUGAAUAGCAGGCAAUAUUUUGGUGGUAGGUGGAUGGUUGGACUAGAUGAUCUUACAGGUCUUCUCCAACCUUAAUGAUGCUAUGAUACUAUGAUAUAGCCAAAAAAAAAAAAAAGUAUUUGUCACACUGGAAAAAUGCAUAUCCAAGCAGAGGUGAUUUUCUUGCUGUGCGAGUCCCCCCUGUCUACUUCAUUAACUCCUUUGGUGCAAAUAAUCUUCAGGACAACCAGGUAUCUUUCAAUAGAUAACAGCGGAAUCUUUUCUUUUUCCAACAAUCCUUAUUUCGUAAUUAAUCCAAAGGGAUCCGUGCCUGAUAGCAAGGUUUGGCACCGGGUAGUUAAUCCUGAUGCAAAUACUGAGAGCUCAGCGAGAAUAGCCAGCUUCCAUGGGCAGGUUUCAGUGUGGAGAACAGGGGCACAUUUUUCUUUCCCUGUGGUGCAGAUCAGGGAUACCCAUCUCCUGAGCACAGAUACUGUUUCAAUUACUUACUGAAGUUGGACUGUAUUGUUAGCACUGGAAUAGCAUUUUAGAAAAUAAAAGUGCUUAAACAACAGAUCUUGAAGAAUUCCCCACUGAGGUAUUGUUUUACUGCCUUAUAUAGAGCAGAUCUGCCUCACAAAUGGAAUUGCCCAGGUUCAGCUGUAGCUGGGGAGUACACAAAAGGGAAGAAUUAGGAUUUUGUUUUAAAAAUUAAAAUAUAUAUAGUUUUAUAAUUGGUUUUCAUUAACAUUUUUAACAAAUAUCUACAAUAUUUAAAAAAUAAAAAAGUAAGUUGAGUUCAUCUAUACAACAGCUCAGUGGAAAUUUUGUGCAAAGUAUUCUAUUUUUCAAGUUCAUUCAAACUUGUAAUGAAAUGAACUAAAGAAUGUUCCAUGCCCUGUUGUCAAAGGCUGCCAAAAAUUAAUUACUGCGCCCCUCUGAUCUGCUGAUGUGUGACCUGAAAGCCCCAUGUUUUAAUUACUUUUCCAGCUUAUAAUUUGGACGUUGGUUUCGUUGCAUUACGCCCUUGUUCACAGAAGCAUGUUAAAAAUAAAGAUAAUAUUACAUAUUACUAUUUUGAACAUGAAGGAGAUCAAGUAUAUGUAUAAAGUGAAGGUAAGCUACUGAAAAGCCGCUCACACAUAGGAGCAGCACAAGUCUUAGCCGUUCUGCUUGCUGGACGCAUCAGGACGUAAUGCCUCCUAUAGGAGGAGUUUUUACAAUUCUAUGAUUUCUGUGCCAAAGGGAGGCCAAAGGAAAACCAGGCAUCCUUGCUGAACCCCACCACUGCUUCCCGCAAUGGUUUCCACCGUUCAGCAAGAUGCCAGGCUUUACCUUAUGUCCUUGGGAAAUUAUUGCUCUUGGCAGCUUUGUCUGUAUCCUAAAUGGCACUGGAUGUUGUUGAACCAACGUAGGUUGCCAGCCAAGAAGAGAUCUCCCCCAGUGGGAAUGAGCAGCUUGGGAGGGAGCAGGAGGGGACUGAGUGCUCACUGCAGUGCUGAGCCCCCUUCAGCUCCACUCUGCCACAGGACUGUGCAUCUAACGUGGAAAUGAUCACUCCUUUCACAAGAUAUUACAUAUCAAUGCAAUGAAAACUAGAGAUUAUUUUUUUUCUGUAUGCACAGAAAUCACAGAAUCAUAAAGUUGUUUUAGUUGGAAGGAACCCUUAAAGGUCCAUUAGUCCCACUCCCCUGCAAUGAACAGGGACACCUAUGAUCCAUCAGGCACCCAGAGCCCCAUCCAUCCUCAGCUUGGGUGGAUGCCCCAACCGAGGACAUGGCAUCCAUCACCUCUCUGCCUCCCCCACACCAUGAAUUUUCAAUACCCAGCUCACAAUUUCCUGCACCUUGAGAACCAGCUGACUGCAAGAGCUACCCAGCAUUGUAUCCCCACGGAAAUACACUUUGCCUAGUUAAAAAGGUGAUUUUCAGGUUAUUUCAAUUCCCAUCGCUUAGGACUGUGUUUGCAGCGUGCUGUCAGUUGGUACUGUCGGAAAACCUGAUCUGCUCCUCACUUUGGUCUCCAGUAGCAACACGGGUUUCUCCCUUAUGAUAUCCUGACAGAAGCCCUAAAAGCUUAUCUAUCGUUUUAAAUGAAAAUCUGCUAGGUGUGACAAUACUUACAGCUAUGGCAGUAGCACAGAUGCUGAAAUCUUCGAAGACCUGACUUCUUUUUCAGGAGGAGAAUAACAGAAAUCAUCAAGUUUGUCUAAAAGGCAGCCGUUCCGUGCUCGGGAAUGGAAAAUGCUCUGCCCCUCAUUUGCAAUAACCAGUGACUCAGCAGCUUGGGCUGCCUGUGCCAGGGCGAUGGGCUCAGAUCUCCCAUCACUGAUCCUCCCCCUCUGCAUCUCUUUCCCCAGGGUUGCGCCACGAUCAGUGUGCAUUAAUUCUGUACCAACGUGGAGAUUUGCCCUGUGCACAUCUUCAUGCCUGUGAGUGAUGCAGGUUACUUGCCAGCUUUCUCAGAGCCUGGAUGUUGGCCUUUAAAGGAAAGUGUGUUUCAUAGGAACUGUGUAUGGAAGGGCCAGGAGAGCAGCUGAGGCUCUUCCUAACUCUGCUUCCCUCUCACAGAAUGGAACAUCAUUAAGCCCGCCAGUGAAAGGAUGAUCCUGCUGACAGUAUUUAGCUUAUCAGGAAAAUAAUUUAGAGUGUUGGAAAAAAAAAACUGUAUUUUAAACUAAUUCCCAAAUUCAGCAAUACUUGAAUUAAAGGUUCUGUGCUAUUUUUUCGUAUUGAUAUUAUCUUGGAGCUGGGAGGCUAUUACUGGAAUUCCACUCUCUAAUACGGCCAUUCAAUGAUUUUGGCUUUGUGUACUACUUAUGACCUUUUUAAUAUUCUGUCAUUUGACUGCCUGCCUGUUCUCAUUCUUUUUGCUAUUUACAGUUUUACAGCCCCGUGGGGAAGGAAUAACCACACUGACUGUUAAUGAAAAUGCAGGUGGCUGAAAUGAGCAAAAUGGUUUCUGCAACUGCUACAGCACAGCGUACUCCCAGUGCUGAGCAAGAGCUGCAGCCUCGCUGCGAUGGCAGUGCUCAGCCCUCCUCCCACUGAAGGUGCUGUGUUGUUUUGCCGUUAUCUCAUUGAUAUGCAGAGCAGAAACAGCAUUAAGUAGCUGUUCCAGCAAAAAUUCUAACGUGAUCCUCAGAAAUUGCAAAGGAAAUGCGAAAUUAUGAGUGCAUGUUGCAGAUUUUUAUUAUAAUCACAGGUUUUCUUACAGCAAUGUAGAGUACAAAUAAUAAGGAAUGAAGACUUAAGGUGAGAACUUAAGUAAGAACAAGAAUCUCUGCAAAGAAAAAACAGGCUCAAGGAGAGACAUUUGUGCUCCUGGUCAGCAAAAUCAGGCUCGAAAGGAUACGCUGGACUUUCACUGCAACUUCUUUGUUGUGCCAGAGCAAUACAGAACUCAGCAGGAGAGAAAAGCAGCAGACUUUUGGUGUGUCUCUCACAUGAUCAUGACUGCACUGAGAUGGCUGUAAGCUGUCUGGAGCUGAAGCAGCCUCCAGGCUGCUAAGGGUGAAGGUCUUCUUGAGCAGCCACAGGGACUCCACGGCACUGAGACUGCAAAGCACCAGGAGCACCUCGCCCUGCUGCCAUGGGCUGGUGCUGCAGCUGGAGGUUCUGCCCUAUUUUGAGAAGUUUAUUUCAGGAGAACCAAAUGUUGCCAGGAUUUGGGGGAAGGUAUGUUAUUGGUAGCAUUGUAUACACAGCUCAAAUCCAGGCGAUGGAUUUCGAGCAGAGAAUUAGUAGUGUGUAUAAUAACAGACAAUUAUAAAUUUAUGAAGCUAAGGUUUAUGAAGAAACUCCUUCAAGCCUGUCAGAAUGAAAGAGGGCAGAUACUUACGCACUUAAGG